UACGUAGGGGGCAAGCGUUGUCCGGAAUUAUUGGGCGUAAAGAGCGCGCAGGCGGUUAUGUAAGUUGGUUGUGUAAACGCAAGGCUCAACCUUGAGGAGCAAUCAAAACUGCAUAACUUGAGUACAGAAGAGGAAAGUGGAAUUCCAUGUGUAGCGGUGAAAUGCGUAGAUAUGUGGAGGAACACCAGUGGCGAAGGCGACUUUCUGGGCUGAAACUGACGCUGAGGCGCGAAAGCGUGGGGAGCAAACAGG
rnacentral:rRNA from 1 species